rnacentral:rRNA from 1 species
UACGUAGGGUGCAAGCGUUAAUCGGAAUUACUGGGCGUAAAGCGUGCGCAGGCGGUUUUGUAAGUCAGAUGUGGAAUCCCCGGGCUUAACCUGGGAACUGCGUUUGAAACUACAAGGCUAGAGUGUGACAGAGGGGGGUGGAAUUCCACGUGUAGCAGUGAAAUGCGUAGAGAUGUGGAGGAACACCGAUGGCGAAGGCAAUCCCCUGGACCUGUACUGACGCUCAUGCACGAAAGCGUGGGGAGCAAACAGG